UAUUUCAGGAAGGACUAAACUGCAAACUGAUUUAACUCUGAAGGACCAAAGUUAAUAACCGACCUAUUCUAUAGGGACCUAACUGUGACAUCAGAAAUAGUCUUAAUUCAAAUUCAGGUCCCUGGUUUUGUCUAUAAAUACCACCACGAAGUUCAAGUUCAAACCAGCUCAAAUUAGAGCAACCCAAGCCUCCAAAUCCUUGCUAAACCUUCCCCUCAGCCUCCUAAAGCCUUCCCUAACCUCUUCUCCGCCCAACAACCACCACAAAACACCCAACCGAGCUCAAGAAAUUCCGAAACUUUGAGCUCUCGGUUCUCCCUCAAAUCUCCAUCUAUUUUGUCGCAUCAAGAGUCUAUUUUGCUUAGAAUUUUACCAGGAAGCUAUUCGUGCAAGAAUUUUGAAGUUUGGAGGUCUAGAUUUCAUUCUGCCAUUGUUGGCCGGAAAAGCUUCACGGAGCUCAUCGUUUUGGCCAAACCAGAGACCUUCUCAGCUACCCACCUAUACCAUUGAGUUCCUGGGAGUGAGAGGAAGCUUUUCCAACCGGUUUCCACCCUUAACUCCACCCUCCCGCCGGAGCUCCGCCGCCAACCACCACCUUCUCCGGCGAGCUCACCGGAAAAACUGUUCAGAACUUGGAUUUUCUUGCAUAGUUCAAAUCCUUGUCUUCCAUAGGUUCCAUAUACAUAUUCGGUUCGGAAAAUUAACUUGGUUUGAUAGGGUUUCAAGAGACGAGAAGGGACGGAGACCGAGGAGAAAGAACUAGAAUGAAAAAGUGACCAAGGCAGGAAGAGCUGUAAAUAGUUGUGAAUAUACGAGAGUGUUCGAGUAGAAUAAAGACCAGCUGAUGGAAGAAGACGUGUGCGACUGGACUCGUACUCUAUCAGACUGUAAAAUAAGUAUGAAAGCAGUGGGGUUUUGUAAUUAAGUUUGUUAAAGUAAUUGGGAAAGAUUCAGAGGAGUCCAUGCGAGACUCUGGGAUGUCUUGUCUAAGGAAAGGAAUCGCUUUUAAUGACGCUUAGCGCGGCUAACUUUCCUGGAGACGUUCUCAGACUAUCAAUUUGACAACGAUGAAUUCUGACCCAAAGGUCUUGUAUUUUUUCAAGGUUCAUCAAUAAAAGUGCUGUUUUUCUGAA